rnacentral:rRNA from 1 species
AUGGCGAUGGCGGCCACCAAAAGUGCAUACACCUUCGCCACAUCCAUCUCACUCCUUCUCCUGCUGACGAUCCCCGUUGCCCUCGCGAAGGGCCACACCCAUGGCACCAGCUACCUCGCCAGAGGCUCCUCGGUGUCCAUCCAGCAGUACGGCCCCAGCACCGCCGCCACCAUCACCACCGUCCUGGCGUCGCCCAACGGCGCCUUCGCCUGCGGCUUUUACAGGGUGGCCACCAACGCCUUCACCUUCUCCAUCUGGUUCUCCGGCUCGGCGGCCAAGACCAAGACCGUCGUCGCGUGGACGGCCAACCGCGACGCCCCGGUGAACGGCAGGGGGUCCAGGCUCGCCUUCCGGAAGGACGGGGCCCUGGCCCUGCUUGACUACAAUGGCGCGGCCGUCUGGAGCACCAACACGACCGCGACCCGCGCCAGCCGCACGGAGCUCCUCGACACCGGCGACCUCGUCGUCGCGGACGCGGACGGCCGGCGCCUCUGGGGGAGCUUCGACUCGCCCACCGACACGCUUCUGCCGUCGCAGCCGAUGACCCGGCACACGAAGCUGGUGUCUGCGUCUGCCAGGGGUCUGCUCUCCUCAGGGUCGUAUACAUUCUACUUUGACAAUGACAACCAGCUCAAGCUCAUCUACAACGGCCCUGAGGUCAGUAGCGUAUACUGGCCUGACCCUUUCACCAUCCCGCUUGUCAAUCACAGGACUACCUAUAACAGUAGCCAGUAUGCAGUUCUUGAGCAGACAGGCCGGUUCGCCGCGAGCGACAACUUCAAAUUUGCAGCUUCUGAUCUUGGUGAUCAUGUUAUGAGGAGGUUGACCCUGGAUUACGAUGGCAACCUUAGGCUCUACAGCCUGAACGCGACCACCGGCGGCUGGUCGGUCUCUUGGAUGGUGUUCCGCGGAGUCUGCAAUAUUCAUGGACUCUGCGGCAAAAACACCCUCUGCAGGUACAUACCCAAGCUCGACUGCGCUUGCCUCAGAGGCUUUGAGGUGGUCGAUGCAAGCGACUGGAGCAAAGGGUGCCGGCGCAAGGCAAACCUCAGGGCCACCCAGGAUUUCUCAUUCAGAAAGGUCGCGGGAGCUGAUUUCAUCGGGUAUGACUUGCUCUACUGGGAGCGGGUGACAAUUCGGAACUGCAAAGAUUUGUGCUUGGACAAUGCUAAUUGCCAAGCCUUUGGUUACCGUCAGGGAGAAGGCAAAUGUUUCACAAAGGUCUAUCUUUAUAACGGCAAGAACUUUCCAAACCCUCACACUGACAUUUAUCUCAAAGUUCCCAGGGCGGUGUUGUCUUCGUCAGAAUUGGCUUCUACAGUGACCCAUGAAUGCAAAGUUCAUCAAAAGGAGGCCAACACUUCAUCGCUAAUGUUCCAGGAUGGCCCUUCUAACUUCAAGUUUGGCUACUUCCUUUCUUCUGCAUUAACACUGCUUUUCAUUGAAGUUAUAUUAAUCAUCGCCGGGUGUUGGGUCGUUCACAAAUGGGAGGGAAGACCAGAGAUUAUAGAUGAAGGUUACACGAUAAUUUCCAGCCAGUUCCGAAUAUUUAGCUACAGGGAGUUACAGAAGGCAACAAAUUGCUUCCAAGAAGAGCUAGGUAGUGGUGGGUCAGGAGCAGUUUAUAAGGGAGUCCUCGAUGAUGAAAGGAAGGUCGCAGUGAAGAAGCUAAACGAUGUGAUCCAAGGAGAGCAGGAGUUCAGGUCCGAGCUAAGUGUCAUAGGCAGAAUCUAUCAUAUGAAUCUGGUCAGAAUUUGGGGGUUUUGUGUCGAGAAGACGCACAGGCUCUUGGUUUCUGAGUUCAUUGAGAAUGGUUCUUUGGCCACAGUUCUUUUUGAUCACCCGAGCAACUCUUCUCCUGUGCUCCAAUGGGGCCAAAGGUACAAUAUUGCACUUGGGGUGGCAAAAGGACUGGCCUAUCUCCAUCACGAGUGUCUUGAAUGGAUUGUGCACUGUGAUGUCAAGCCAGAGAACAUAUUGUUAGAUAGAGAGUUUCAGCCCAAGAUUGCAGAUUUUGGACUGAUGAAGCUACAACAGCGAGGAUCAAGCGCACAAAUGUUGUCAAAAGUGCAUGGGACUAGAGGCUACAUUGCACCAGAAUGGGCUCUAAAUCUUCCAAUCAAUGGUAAGGCCGAUGUUUACAGCUACGGCGUGGUGCUUCUUGAGUUAGUGAAGGGGGUUCGUCUUUCCGGAUGGGUGGCUGAGGGCGAGGAGGAGGUUGAAAUGGCUGGUGUAUGCUCCAUUGAGAUCCUUAAAGAAAAACUAGCAGGCGAAGACCAGUCAUGGCUUCUGGAGUUUGUUGACCACAGACUGGAUGGAGAAUUCAACCAUUCAGAAGCGGUGGUAAUGCUUAAGAUAGCAAUAUCAUGUGUGCAAGAGGAGAGGAGCAGAAGACCGAGCAUGAGCCAUGUGGUCGAAACUCUGCUUUCACUUGUGGAAUAA